UCUGUUUCUGGUUCCAAAUGGCAACCAUCGCUGACUUGAAAAAACAAGAAAAAGAGAGAAAGAGGAAAGAAAAGCAGAAGAAAGAUAAACAGAAAAAAGUGAAAAUAUUACUUUCAAAACCUGUUGAAAAUAGGGAAGUAUUGGACUCCGGAAAUUCCAAAGAGCUUGAAAAUCUACUCGAAAGUCUGCUGAGGCCUGCAAAAUUGGAGACAUUCAAAUAUUCCUGGUCUGAACUAAAGAAAAUACCAAAAGAUAAAAGACGGGAGAGCAGAAAAGGAUUGAUGAUUGGUCUUGAUAAAGAAAAGUAUAUGAAGGCGAAAAAGAUACGAGACAACUUUGUAUUUGGUACUAACAGCAUUAUUAGAAGUUUAGAAAGAGGGAACAUUCUAUGUGGAAUAGUGUCUCCAGAUUUUGAUCCUGCAAUGGUUACGGAUCACAUUAUUUCAGUCUCAAAACAAAGAGGAAUUCCAGUGGUUCUUCUCCCUGAGCUGAAUUCUAUUUGUAAACGUUGUCUAGGAUUCCCUGUUAAAGCCCUAGGAUUAAAGAAAAGCGAUUCAAUUAUAAGUGACGAUUGUUACACAAAUUUAAAAAAUCAAAUUCUGGCUUUAAGUGAUCUCCCUGAUGAAGACUUGAAGCGAAUUAAUUCUUCCAAGUCACCUCCUUCUCAUUCAAAAUCGAAGUUGCGACAUCCAAAACCCAUCACACCCACUCCAAGAGACCUAAUUCUAAAAAGGCCAAACAAAAGCAGCAGAUGUUUUUUGCCAGGAGGCUCCUCAGUAGAAGUCAGCAUGGAUAACUCAGAUUUCAUUUCAUUUGGAACUACCACAGCAAUACAGCGCAGAGCAAGUUUGAAACUGAUAUUUCUUUUGAAAUGUCUAUGCCAAGACUAG
rnacentral:lncRNA from 1 species